rnacentral:rRNA from 1 species
CAGCCGCCGCGGUAAUACCAGCCCCGCGAGUGGUCGGGACGGUUAUUGGGCCUAAAGCGCCCGUAGCCGGCCCGGCAAGUCCCUCCUUAAAGCCUCGGGCCCAACCCGAGGACGGGGGGGAUACUGCCGGGCUAGGGGGCGGGAGAGGCCGGCGGUACUCCCGGGGUAGGGGCGAAAUCCGUUAAUCCCGGGAGGACCACCAGUGGCGAAGGCGGCCGGCUGGAACGCGCCCGACGGUGAGGGGCGAAAGCCGGGGGAGCGAACCGGAUUAGAUACCCGGGUAGUCCCGGCUGUAAACGAUGCGGGCUAGGUGUCGGGUGAGCUUCGAGCUCGCCCGGUGCCGUAGGGAAGCCGUUAAGCCCGCCGCCUGGGGAGUACGGCCGCAAGGUUGAAACUUAAAGGAAUUGGCGGG